UACAGAGGUCUCAAGCGUUGUUCGGAUUCAUUGGGCGUAAAGGGUGCGUAGGCGGCGCGGUAAGUCGGGUGUGAAAUUUCGAGGCUUAACUUCGAAACUGCAUUCGAUACUGCCGUGCUUGAGGACUGGAGAGGAGACUGGAAUUUACGGUGUAGCGGUGAAAUGCGUAGAUAUCGUAAGGAAGACCAGUGGCGAAGGCGGGUCUCUGGACAGUUCCUGACGCUGAGGCACGAAGGCCCAGGGGAGCAAAACGGG
rnacentral:rRNA from 1 species